UAAAACGUAUCUUUUUAAAGUGUGAUUGUAAACCUAACCUUAAAUUAAGUCCAAAAAUAAAAACACGUGUCAUGAAGUUUGACUUUGUGGAUGUGGUAGCCGUUGUAUUGUCAGUGAUUAUUUUAAAGCCGUUUCCCCUGUCUAGAUUCAUUUUGAUAUUCUCAUCUUUACUCAAGGAGGUCUCGGCGUAAUCAUUCAUGGUGUCUGGCGAACCGAGUGCAAAGAAACUGACCGUUCGAGGAGAAAAAGGAUAACGCAUCAGAAAAUAAAAAAGACUUCAGAGAAAGCUCCAAAGAAGAAAGCUCCAAAGAAGAAAGCUCCAAAGAAGAAAGCUCCAAAGAAGAAAGCUCCAAAGAAGAAAGCUCCAAAGAGGAAAACUCCAAAGAGGAAAACUCCAGAGAGAACCUCGACCAAACCCAGGACUGGAAAGUGGGGGUGUGACCCUGAAGGAGCCAACCACGGAGAUCGAGAGCUCUGCACCAGUGAUGUUGCGGUGCCACAUUGACGGACACCCGCGUCCCACUUGCCACCAGUGGUUCCGAGAUAGACUGACAGAAAACUGACAGAAAAAAACCCAUCAGAUUAACAACAAGGAGCACACCGUCAUCUUCAGGAGCGCCAGCCACAACGACAAUGGCCUGUAUUACUGCUGUGCCAAGAAUGCAGCCGGCCAUGUGUGCAGCAACGCCAACUUCACCCUCAACAUUAUAGGUGUUUUUGUCCGUUCACAUUUAUCAUGGAUGUGUGUGUGUUUGUUGUCUGUGCACAUUUGUCCUGUGUGUGCGUUUAGUCUAUGUGUGUGGGCUCCGCUUCUUUGUAAAAGCUGCCUCAUAAUCCUGUUAUCUUUGAUGACAUCUCACACACUGUGGGCCCCCUGGCAAUUUUGCCACAUUACUACCAAGUUGUCUUUUCUCAUUCCUUCCUUUGCAUCACAGUCAAUGUGAUUACACACACACACACUUCUGAGCCAGGCUGCUCUGUUGAGCCAGGUAACAGUGUGACAUUAAUAAAUCACAAAAGAAAGGUUAUGGCGUGUUAGCAGGAGAGCUUUUCAUAAAUAUUUCCAUGGUGUGUUUAGUUACCUGAUUUACUUGUUAGAGGCUAGGCCAGGCGGCACUAUGAGAUUUGUUCUGCAGUGAGUGUGUAGCUGUAGACCAUUCGUGUGGAGAGCGAGAAAGGGUUGUUCGGGCUGUCCGCAUAGGAGAACUCUUUGAAGAACCCGUUUUGGUUCUAGGUAGAACCCUCUAGGUAGAACUCUUCCAUGUAGGACCCUUUCCACAGAGAGUUCUACAUGGAACACAAAAAGGUUCUCCUAUGGGGACAGCCGAAGAACCCUUUUGGAACCCUUUUCUUUCUAAGCGUGUAUAAUGUGAUUACCACAGGCCUUACCGGUGUGUAAGUAUCCACCUCCACAGCCAACCACUCACACACACUCUAAAUCACACCAAUCCACUUAUUGUACAGGUACUGUAAAUAUAGUGUCACGCCUUGGUCUUAGUAUUUUGUGUUUUAGUUAAUUAGUUGGUCAGGCCAGGGUGUGACAUGGGUUUAUGUUGUUGUAUUGGGGUUUUGUAGUUAUUGGGAUUGCGGCUGAGUAGGGGUGUUGCAUAGGCUUGGCUGCCUGAGGCGGUUCUCAAUCAGAGUCAGGUGAUUCUCGUUGUCUCUGAUUGGGAACUGUAUUUAGGUAGCCUGGGUUUCACUUUGUAUUUCGUGGGUGAUUGUUCCUGUCUCUGUGUUAGUGUUCACCAGACAGGCUGUAUAGGUUUUUUCACGUUUUGUUGUUUUGUAUUUAUUAGUUAUUUCAUGUAUCGUUCCGUUUUUUCUUCAUUAAAAACAUGAGUAACCAACACGCUGCAUUUCGGUCCGACUCUCUUUCGACAAACGAAGAACGCCGUUACAUAUAAACAUUAGCCCCCUCAGUUCAUUCCCCCAAAUUCUGUUGAACUGUAUCAGUCCAUGUAUUUAUGUCCUGGUUUCUGUAUACAUUUUUGCUUAUUAUAUAGAAUAUGCAUCUCAUGUAUGUGUGUGUGGAAAUGUGCCCCUGAGGACACUACCACACAGAAUAGAGUACCCAGUCAGGAGCACAUCUGUGGGAGAAACCUGAUCUCCACUCUAAUUAGUCACCUGUGCUGCUUACACACGCCCGCCCGCAUGCACGCACCACACCCCACACACACAUUCCCACAGGAUUAGUACCUGGAUGGAAUGAAAAGAAAGAAAGAAUGAAAAAAUCCUACAAUGUGAUUUUCUGGAUUUUUUUUUCCCUCAUUUUUGUCUGUCAUAGUUGAAGUGUACCUAUGAUGAAAAUUACAGGCCUCUCUCAUCUUUUUAAGUGGGAGAACUUGCACAAUUGGUGGCUGACUAAAUACUUUUUUGCCCCACUGUAUGUUCUAACAGGGAUGAUCUGUGCUGUUGAUAAACUGAAAUUUGAGUCCAAGUAAGCACUGAGGUUAGUCAUUCUAAAUUAGGGCUGGUUCAUUUAGAAAAUGUUUUAGUUGUGAUUGGGAUACAUCGAGAGUGAAUUGCUGAAGCACGAUGAGGGGUGGGGGAGCUGAUAACAUUUAUUUGGCCAAGAGAGUCUCCAGAAACGUAUCUCUAAGUGUUAUCCUGAGGGGAGGUGGUCAGUUUGUUUGGGGGAAUCACUGGAUGAUAGCUUGGGACAACCAUGAAAGUUUUUUUGUUUUUGCCAUGGUCUCAGACUUUGGUUGUCGGAAUAUAUAAUUAUCUAUAGCUUAUCACGUCGUUAAUACUGUUAUGUUUUGUGUGUCUUUUUGUUGCUUUCCAAGUCUUGUGGUAUCACUCUCUUAGGAACCAGAAGGGGGAAGUGGAGAAACUAAAAGCUGCUCCAUCUGACAUUGAACGAGACCGCAGAUUCAGCUGGAAUGGCAUUUUGUUGUGUGAUCAUAGUUCAGAGGCCAUAAGUCUCUGAAUUUGUACACCUCGAGGUGCCUGUUUGUUCAUUGGUUUGUUCAUUUGUUUGUUUGUUUAGUUCAUGUUUUAUAAGCAUUUGUUUUUUAUUCAUGAUUUAUUAUCAUUGUUUAUACAUUUAUUAGUAAUUUCCAAGUUUAUAUGAAUUGAACAUUAGGAUGCUAUUGUUCAAGACGAGGCACUGUUGGAUUCAACAUUUUGAACAUUGAGAUAUUAAAGACAUGAUAGAUUAGACGCAUAGUACAUUAAGUAAAAGAGACCGGGUCUCUGUAGAAAGACAGAUAGCUGUGGAAUGUGUUGGGGGACGGGAACAGAGCACAAUGUUGAUACAGGAAAGACAGAUGGACAUCUGUGGAUUAGAUGAAGGAGGGGUUGAGGUCAGGAGGUGAGGACAGGUCACCUGAAGGGAGUAAUAAGGGUUUGGUAUCUUGUUACUCUUUUCCUGUUAAACCAUAAGAAGGAUUGGAGAGAAGGAGGAGCGUCUUAAGUGGGAUAUAUAUAUCUGGUUGGGAGUGUUGGGUUGUCUGAAUUACAGCUGUACAGAAACUUUGGGAAGAAUUAAACUUGGUUA